rnacentral:misc_RNA from 1 species
GUUCGAGCGUCAUUUAACUCUUCAAGCUUUGCUUGGUGUUGGGUAUUGUUCGCCUUGCAACUUGCCUUGAAUAAAUUGGCAGCCAACAAUUGGGUGUUGGAGCGCAGCACAUUUUGCGUUCUUAACCUUAGUAGCUGGCGUCCAGAAAGCUUAUUUCAACGUUUGACCUCGGAUCAGGUAGGGAUACCCGCUGAACUUAA